rnacentral:lncRNA from 1 species
GGAGAUACAAGUCCCAGUUGGGAGGUGGUGGGCACAACACCCCGUUUGAACCGAGAAGAGAGCCCACUUGAAAGACUAACAACAGAUAAUGGGUUACUUCGUCCUGCACCUCCCUUUCUUCUUUUUACACCAUCAUAAAAUAUUUAAUCCCAUUUUAGUCCUGCACCAAUCACAUUUAUGCACCUCCAUCUUUAUCUUGUUCCCCGAUCCCUUCUCCCAUCCACACUGUUGCACUUC